AACGAACGCUGGCGGCAUGCCUAACACAUGCAAGUCGAACGAUACCUUCGGGUCUUGUCUCGCACGGGUGCGUAACGCAAGGGAACCGUCCCUUAGGUUCGGAAUAACUCCCCGACAGGGGUGCUAAUACCGGAUGAUGUCUUCUGCCCAAAGAGUUAUCGCCUUUGGAUGUGCCCGCGUGGGAUGAGCUAGUUGGUAGGGUAAACGCCUACCAAGGCGACGAUCCAUAGCGGGACGGAGAGGAUGAUCAGCCACACUGGGACUGGGACACGACCCAGACGCCUACGAGCAGUGGCAGUGGUGGAUAUAGGACAGUGGGCGAGAGGCAGAACCAGCACGGCCGCGAGGGUGGUCAAGGCCUUAGAGUUGUAAAGCACUUUUACCCGAGAGGAUGAUGACGGAACUGGGAGUAUAGGCUCCGGCUACCACGGU
rnacentral:rRNA from 1 species